rnacentral:rRNA from 1 species
GGUGAACGCUGGCGGCGUGCCUAACACAUGCAAGUCGAACGAGAACGGAUUGUAGUUUACUAUGAUUGUCAGCUAAGUGGCGCACGGGUGAGUAAUGUAUAGUUAAUCUGCCCUAGAGAGAGGGAUAACAUUUGGAAACGGAUGCUAAGACCUCAUAUGCCUUUAAAACAUAAGUUUGCAAGGGAAAUAUUUAUAGCUCUAGGAUGAGACUGUAUGGUAUCAGUUAGUUGGUGAGGUAAUGGCUCACCAAGACAAUGACACCUAACUGGUUUGAGAGGAUGAUCAGUCACACUGGAACUGAGACACGGUCCAG